GACGAACGCUGGCGGCGUGCCUAACACAUGCAAGUCGAACGGGACCCGCAAGGGUUCAGUGGCGAACGGGUGCGUAACACGUGAAGAAUUUAUCCAACGGCGGGGGAUAGCCGGCCCAACGGCCGGGUAAUACCGCGUACGACCCUCGGGGGGCAUCCCCUGAAGGUGAAAGCCGCAAGGCGCCGAUGGAGAACUUCGCGGCCUAUCAGCUAGUUGGUGAGGUCAUGGCUCACCAAGGCGACGACGGGUAGCUGGUCCGAGAGGAUGACCAGCCACAUUGGGACUGAGACACGGCCCAGACUCCUACGGGAGGCAGCAGUGGGGAAUAUUGCGCAAUGGGCGAAAGCCUGACGCAGCGACGCCGCGUGUGGGAUGACGGCCUUCGGGUUGUAACCACUGUCGCGAGGGACGAAGCUCUGACGGUACCUCGAAAGGAAGCACCGGCUAACUCUGUGCCAGCCGCCGCGGUAA
rnacentral:rRNA from 1 species